AUUGAACGCUGGCGGCAGGCCUAACACAUGCAAGUCGAGCGGAUGAAGGGAGCUUGCUCCUGGAUUCAGCGGCGGACGGGUGAGUAAUGCCUAGGAAUCUGCCUGGUCGUGGGGGAUAACGUCCGGAAACGGGCGCUAAUACCGCAUACGUCCUGAGGGAGAAAGUGGGGGAUCUUCGGACCUCACGCUAUCAGCUGAGACUAGGUCGGAUUAGCUAGUUGGUGGGGUAAAGGCCUACCAAGGCGACGAUCCGUAACUGGUCUGAGAGGAUGAUCAGUCACACUGGAACUGAGACACGGUCCAGACUCCUACGGGAGGCAGCAGUGGGGAAUAUUGGACAAUGGGCGAAAGCCUGAUCCAGCCAUGCCGCGUGUGUGAAGAAGGUCUUCGGAUUGUAAAGCACUUUAAGUUGGGAGGAAGGGCAGUAAGUUAAUACCUUGCUGUUUUGAUGGUACCAACAGAAUAAGCACCGGCUAACUUCGUG
rnacentral:rRNA from 1 species